rnacentral:rRNA from 1 species
AGCGGAUGAAGGGAGCUUGCUCCUGGAUUCAGCGGCGGACGGGUGAGUAAUGCCUAGGAAUCUGCCUGGUAGUGGGGGAUAACGUCCGGAAACGGGCGCUAAUACCGCAUACGUCCUGAGGGAGAAAGUGGGGGAUCUUCGGACCUCACGCUAUCAGAUGAGCCUAGGUCGGAUUAGCUAGUUGGUGGGGUAAAGGCCUACCAAGGCGACGAUCCGUAACUGGUCUGAGAGGAUGAUCAGUCACACUGGAACUGAGACACGGUCCAGACUCCUACGGGAGGCAGCAGUGGGGAAUAUUGGACAAUGGGCGAAAGCCUGAUCCAGCCAUGCCGCGUGUGUGAAGAAGGUCUUCGGAUUGUAAAGCACUUUAAGUUGGGAGGAAGGGCAGUAAGUUAAUACCUUGCUGUUUUGACGUUACCAACAGAAUAAGCACCGGCUAACUUCGUGCCAGCAGCCGCGGUAAUACGAAGGGUGCAAGCGUUAAUCGGAAUUACUGGGCGUAAAGCGCGCGUAGGUGGUUCAGCAAGUUGGAUGUGAAAUCCCCGGGCUCAACCUGGGAACUGCAUCCAAAACUACUGAGCUAGAGUACGGUAGAGGGUGGUGGAAUUUCCUGUGUAGCGGUGAAAUGCGUAGAUAUAGGAAGGAACACCAGUGGCGAAGGCGACCACCUGGACUGAUACUGACACUGAGGUGCGAAAGCGUGGGGAGCAAACAGGAUUA